rnacentral:lncRNA from 1 species
GUUAAAUCAAACAGAUCACCCCUAAAAAUUCAAACAAAUUAAUACAACAAUCACUUUCAAGAUCAACGGCAUAUCAUAAAAUGGGGGAUUAUUUCAGAGAAGGUUUUAAUACAUCAAAAUUACGAGUGGAUGGUGGCAUUAGAAAUGAGUAAAAAGUUUCAACAAUCACCGAACUUCCGUUUGCUGCUCAACGGUCACUGAACUUAAAAACACACCACUCCAUCCAUCACUCACCACAAAGCCGUCUGAAAUUGUCUGAUCUGGCCUUGACGGAAUUCCAUGUGGCAUUCAACGGCAUCAAAAGUGAGACACGAUGGACAUGUUUAAGAUUACACGACUCUAACCCAUUCAAAAUUGAAAACCAAUUUCCCUAAUUCACUCUCCCAUGAACCCUAAUUCAAUCUCCCCCAAUUCAAAAUCCUGGAUCAAACAUAGAGUCACUUACCAGAAGUUCUUCGUCUUCCAAUGUACACCAUCCCCAGCUGCAGAUGAUUAUCAACCGAUAAAAUCUGAACCCACGCCCCGUUACCUAAACGUUGAAAACUCGAAGAAGGAAACUAGAGGAGCCCAACCAACUGCGAACGGUGAAGGUAAUCUCCUAAAUUCUCAUUUACUUAUUUGAAGAAUAUGUAAUUGACACUGUUGAAUGACCGAAUUUUUGUUCAAAUUUGCUAACUGCACAAAAUCGAAGAGAGUUGUGAGAUUUUCCUUCAUUCAAAUUGUUUAAAUAAUUUCUCAUUGAAAGCACUUUGAAUUUUCAAUUUUGAACUUGGGUUCAUCCUGUGAACAUUUUUGAAAUUGGACAUUGUUUAAUUUUGUUUGAGGAGGCAUCCCGUAAGCAUUAAUUCUUGUUACAGAAUGCUCAAAAUGAUAUGGUGGUCAUUGUUUAAUUUUGUUUGAGGAGGCUGAAAAUGAACUGAUGGUCGUAGUUGUGAUAGGAAAUUAUUGAAUUAGCGUUGCGGAUGAUAUUAGUUUGAUGAUUAUCAGCAUUAUUAGUAAAAGUAUUAUGGUUACAAAAUUAGAAUGUCUUGUUAAAUUGUGUUCCUGAAUGGUGAGAAAUUUUUAUGCAGAUUAGGAUAUUAUGUGGUGUCGAACAUAAUGAUUCGAAGAGGCUGAUUUUUGUAUCAAAAUCAAUAAAAGAUGCGGUAAGAUUUUGUAGUCCUAAAGAUUUUGAUUUUAAUCACUUUUUCUUUUCUUUUUUCCCCUACUUUUUUUAAUAGACUCUGAUUGCAAAACAGUGGCAUUUUGCAUAUAGGAAAACUGUUGGGUUCCAGAAUGUGGAGGAUUUGGGUGAGUUCAAUGACAUUGAGGCAUGGACGAAGCAACAAAAAGUUUCCAAACUUAGCUUAUAAAAGAAAUCUACCAAGUGAUCACAUUACGUUGUAUUAAGCUUCAUGUUGCAUUUCAAUUCCAAGUAAUCAGGCAAAAACAAGGGAUAUGGAAUCAAGGAAGCUUAGGAAAGAUAUAUGCAGGCACUGUGGGGAGAAGUUGUUGGGGUCUCGUCUUGAGGCACGAACAAUAUGCUGUCCAAUGUGUGGUGCUACUACAAUACUUCAAAUACCACGGCAGCUAGUCCCUCUUCCCGCACAUGGACGGGCGUUACCUACAAGGGACAUUGAUACUGAUGAAGAUUGUGAAAAAGGGUGUUAAUGUUUUUGUGGAUAAGGGUGUUGAUAACUUUGUAGUGUCAAAGUAAUGUACAUGUAUUUUUUAUGGUGUUUUCAGAUGUCAAACAACUGAAGUUUUUCGGCGAACACUCACUUUGAAUGCUGAUUUGUUUUUCCAUUGACUAAGUUCCUUUUUGUGGCUUCUGUUUUGAUUUUGUUAUGCUUGCAAAGACUUGUUUGAUUUGAGAUUGAACAUAAUUAUGUGAAGUUGUGCAUGAACGUCUCCU